AUUGAACGCUGGCGGCGUGCAUAACACAUGCAAGUCGAUCGGUAACGCGGGGGCAACCCUGGCGACGAGAGGCGGACGGGUGAGGAACGCUUGGGAAUCUGCCCUUCAGCGGGGGACAACACGGGGAAACUCGUGCUAAUACCGCAUACGCUCCACGGAGGAAAGCCGGGGACCGCAAGGCCUGGCACUGAAGGAUGAGCCCAAGUCGGAUUAGCUAGUUGGCGGGGUAACGGCCCACCAAGGCGACGAUCCGUAGCUGGUCUGAGAGGACGAUCAGCCACACUGGGACUGAGACACGGCCCAGACUCCUACGGGAGGCAGCAGUGGGGAAUAUUGGACAAUGGGGGAAACCCUGAUCCAGCGACGCCGCGUGGGUGAAGAAGGCCUGCGGGUUGUAAAGCCCUUUCGGUAGGGACGAAAGCUCUCGACCUAACACGUCGGGAGGUUGACUUAACCUACAGAAGAAGCACCGGCUAACUCUGUGCCAGCCGCCGCCGUAAGAC
rnacentral:rRNA from 1 species